AGGGAAAACUGGGUGUGGAGUAUAUGGGAACCCUGUACUAUCUUUACAAUUUUUCUGUAAAUCUAAAAUUUAAAAUUUAUUACA